UGGGGAAUAUUGGACAAUGGGCGAAAGCCUGAUCCAGCCAUGCCGCGUGUGUGAAGAAGGUCUUCGGAUUGUAAAGCACUUUAAGUUGGGAGGAAGGGCAUUAACCUAAUACGUUAGUGUUUUGACGUUACCGACAGAAUAAGCACCGGCUAACUCUGUGCCAGCAGCCGCGGUAAUACAGCGGGUGCAAGCGUUAAUCGGAAUUACUGGGCGUAAAGCGCGCGUAGGUGGUUUGUUAAGUUGGAUGUGAAAUCCCCGGGCUCAACCUGGGAACUGCAUCCAAAACUGGCAAGCUAGAGUAGGGCAGAGGGUGGUGGAAUUUCCUGUGUAGCGGUGAAAUGCGUAGAUAUAGGAAGGAACACCAGUGGCGAAGGCGACCACCUGGGCUCAUACUGACACUGAGGUGCGAAAGCGUGGGGAGCAAAC
rnacentral:rRNA from 1 species